GCAGUCGCCACGGUAAUACGAAGGGUGCAAGCGUUAAUCGGAAUUACUGGGCGUAAAGCGUGCGUAGGCGGUGAGUUAAGUCUGCUGUGAAAUCCCCGGGCUCAACCUGGGAAUGGCAGUGGAUACUGGCUCGCUAGAGUGUGUCAGAGGAUGGUGGAAUUCCCGGUGUAGCGGUGAAAUGCGUAGAGAUCGGGAGGAACAUCAGUGGCGAAGGCGGCCAUCUGGGACAACACUGACGCUGAGGCACGAAAGCGUGGGGAGCAAACAGGAUUAGAUACCCGAGUAGUCCCUGUCUCUUAUAC
rnacentral:rRNA from 1 species